rnacentral:rRNA from 1 species
UCUAAUACCGGAUAUGAACUCCUGCCGCAUGGUGGGGGUUGGAAAGUUUUUCGGUGCAGGAUGAGCCCGCGGCCUAUCAGCUUGUUGGUGGGGUAAUGGCCUACCAAGGCGACGACGGGUAGCCGGCCUGAGAGGGUGAUCGGCCACACUGGGACUGAGACACGGCCCAGACUCCUACGGGAGGCAGCAGUGGGGAAUAUUGCACAAUGGGCGAAAGCCUGAUGCAGCGACGCCGCGUGGGGGAUGACGGUCUUCGGAUUGUAAACCCCUUUCAGUAG